AUUGAACGCUGGCGGCAGGCCUAACACAUGCAAGUCGAGCGAGUGGCGGACGUGUGAGUAAUGUAUGGGGACUGCCCGCUAGAGGGGGAUAACUACUGGAAACGGUGGCUAAUACCGCAUACUAUCGUAUAUCCCAUAUGGGAUUGGCUAGUAGGUGGGGUAAAGGCUCACCUAGGCGACGCUCCCUCACUGGUCUGAGAGGGUGAUCCACCAAACUGGGACUGGACACAGGCCCAAACUCCUAUGGGGGCAGCCAUUGGGAAUAUUGGACAAUGGGCGCAAACCUGCUGCAGCCAUGCCGGGUGUAUGAAAAAGGCCUUGGGGUUUUAAAAUCCUUUCAGCGGGGGGGCGUUACCCGCCAGAAGAGCACCGGCUAACUCCGUGGCAGCAGCCGCGGUAAUUC
rnacentral:rRNA from 1 species